UCAGAGGAGAAGCGGGCGCGGGGAGGAAAAGGAGGAGGAGGCAGAGGCGGUCUGGGCCGGGCCGGGCCUGACCCCUGCGUCCCGGGGGCACAGGCGUUCUUAAGGCUGCAGAGCCCUGGGUCCCCCACCCGGCCCCGGUUCACUUUGAGCGGUCCCAAGGCCUGAGGGCCUACUGUCCAGUCCCCAGGUUAUCGUCCUGAGCAAAGACAGACCCCGAGCCCUGCGGUCUUGGGGCUCAAACAGUCCCUGGAUGGCCAAACAAGCAAAUAUUCGCCAUGGCAGUGGGUGCUGGAAGGGUGGCUCACGGAGCUGACGCCCUCCGCAGAGAACCGUGGUCUAGUCCUGCGGUCACGAGGCCUAUCUGGGACAGUGGUGUUUGAGCUGAGACUUUAACGAAUAGAGACAGGUGAGGUUCCUGCAGCCCAGGGCUUCAGCGUGAACAACCCCAGAAGGAAAAAGAGUGCUGUUGUUAAAGGUAUCUGGCAUCAUGGACCCAACCAUCACCAGGAGUUUCUCACUUCAUCUCUGAAGUUUCCUGUGCCCUGUCACUCCUCCGUAUUCCUCCAUCCUCAGGAUUUCAUCAAAUGGUCUGCUGCACUGUGCUGGAAUUUUGAACUCCCCAGAGUAGUAAACAACAUCUUCUCAAGGGUAUACAAGUCAUCAGAUAGAGAAAACACCCAUUAUAGAGCUGUGGAGCCCUUACGAUAUAGUGCUAUGCUGCAACAAAUUAGACAGAAGAGUAUUUGUUGAAUAAUAAAAGGUAUCAAUGAACGAACAAAUAAAUUAAUGAGCUGAUGUAUUGAUUAAAUGAAUUUACUUCUUUCAGAUUUACUUUUCCAAACUAAAAAAAAAUUGUUUUAAACUUUGUUCCAAAGUUAUACAGUUUUUACAAAAAUAAAACUUUAUUUUUGAAUUGCUUUAUAUUUACAGAAAAGUUGCAAAGAUAUGGAAAGUUGCCUCACCCUAUAAUUAGCUUCUGACAUUAGUAUGGUACAUUUGUCACAAUUAUUGAACCAGUAUUGAUGAUAUGUUAUUAUUAACUAAAUUCUAUACUUUAUAAAGAUUUCCUCAGUUUUUACCUAAUGCCAUUUCUCUGUUCCAGGAACCCAUCCCAGAAAUCACAUUUCAUAUUGAUAUCAAGUUUCCUAAGACUCCUCUUCGUAGGUACAGUUUCAGGGCCAAAAUUUUAAGGGCCUUGAGUGUUUUGAGCAGUACUGGACAGGUGUUUUUUAGGAUGUCCCUCGACUGAGCUUUGACUGAUGAAUUGCUCAUGAUUGAAUUGGGACUAUGGGUCUUCAGAAGAAAGAUCAUGAGCCCUUUUUGUCACAUCAUGUCAAAGAUACCAUGCCAUCAAUACAACUUAUUACUGAUGAUGUUGACAUUGACCACUUGACUGAGAUAACAUUUGUCAGAUUUCUCCACUGUAAAGUUACUUUUCCCCACUUUCCAUACUAUACUCUUUUGUAGGAAGUCACUAUGCACAGGCCAUACUUAAAGAGAGCUCCAUCUCCUUGAGGGCAGAGUAACUACAUUAAAUAUUUGAAAUCUUUCUGCCCAGGAGAUUUGUCUAUUUUUCCAAUUUAUUUAUUCAAUCUAUUAUUAUUAUGUUAGAUAUGAGACCUUGCUAUGUUGCCUAGAUGGGUCUCAAACUCCUGAGCUCAAGUAAUCCUUCUGUCUCAGCCUCCUGAGCAGGUGGGACUAUAGGCAUGCACCACUGCACCUGACAAUCAUUUAUUGAUGGCAGUAUGAACUCAUGGACAUUUGUUUUAUCCUUAAGUUAUAACCCAAUAUUAUAUUAUUUUAUUGCUAAAUUAUUUCAGUUUUGGCCAUUGAAGCUCUUUUGUUUAAUGCCCAUGUCAUUUUGACAUACCUCUAUCAUUGUGGGAUUUCUUUUUACUUUUUUGCAGAUAUUUCUUUAGUUUUUGGCACUACAAGAGGCUCUAGUUUCAUCAUCUAUCCUGCCCCAGCCCAAGAUUCAACCAUUUCUUCAAGUAGCCCUUGCUCUUUUUUACUGUACAUUGUAAUUAAUAAUCAAGUUCUUGGCACUAGGUUCUUCAGAAAUUUUUUUUUAGUUUAUAUGUUUGUUGAUAAGGUAUUGAUAAAGAUUCUGCUAGUGAUUACCAAUGUAACUUUUGGCAAAUUAUCUGAAACAUGGAAAUAAUAAUUUCUACUUCAUAGGACUGUUGUACAUUUUAAAUGGAUUCACUAGGAUAGUGCACGGAGUAAAAGGAAACAAAUAGUAA
ensembl:lncRNA SUCLG2-DT SUCLG2 divergent transcript